UACGUAGGGUGCGAGCGUUGUCCGGAAUUAUUGGGCGUAAAGAGCUUGUAGGCGGUUUGUCGCGUCUGCCGUGAAAAUUCGAGGCUCAACCUCGAACUUGCGGUGGGUACGGGCAGACUAGAGUGCGGUAGGGGAGACUGGAAUUCCUGGUGUAGCGGUGAAAUGCGCAGAUAUCAGGAGGAACACCGAUGGCGAAGGCAGGUCUCUGGGCCACUACUGACGCUGAGAAGCGAAAGCAUGGGGAGCGAACAGG
rnacentral:rRNA from 1 species